rnacentral:rRNA from 1 species
GAUGAACGCUGGCGGCGUGCCUAAUACAUGCAAGUCGAGCGAACAGACGAGGAGCUUGCUCCUCUGACGUUAGCGGCGGACGGGUGAGUAACACGUGGAUAACCUACCUAUAAGACUGGGAUAACUUCGGGAAACCGGAGCUAAUACCGGAUCAUAUAUUGAACCGCAUGGUUCAAUAGUGAAAUACGGUUUUGCUGUCACUUAUAGAUGGAUCCGCGCCGCAUUAGCUAGUUGGUAAGGUAACGGCUUACCAAGGCAACGAUGCGUAGCCGACCUGAGAGGGUGAUCGGCCACACUGGAACUGAGACACGGUCCAGACUCCUACGGGAGGCAGCAGUAGGGAAUCUUCCGCAAUGGGCGAAAGCUUGACGGAGCAACGCCGCGUGAGUGAUGAAGGUCUUCGGAUCGUAAAACUCUGUUAUUAGGGAAGAACAAAUGUGUAAGUAACUAUGCACGUCUUGACGGUACCUAAUCAGAAAGCCACGGCUAACUACGUG